AAGGGCACCACAAGAACGCGUGGAGCAUGUGGCUUAAUUUGACUCAACGCGGGAAAUCUUACCGGGUCCGGACACACUGAGGAUUGACAGGCAAUAUUAAUUUCUGGCCUCCGGGUCGAUUUUAUGUUAAAUAUGCUAGUCCUUUCAUGAUUAUGUGAUAGGUGGUGCAUGGCCGUUCUUAGUUCGUGGAGUGAUCUGUCUGCUUAAUUGCGUUUCACUAAGGGCCUAUAAUUUAACGUGUGUUGCGGCACUUUGACCCCUCUUCGCGGAGCGUGCGCCUUAGCUUGUUUAGCUCACACAAUUAGGUCCUGAAAGCAACGAACGUGACCGCAACCUCUUGUUGCCUUUAUACCAAACACAGUCUGUUCCUUUCUCUCGAAAGGGCUGCCGUGAAAAAAGGCUUUUUAAACUAGAGGGACCGCUGUUACUUUCUUAAACCAGAGGAAGGUUGCGGCAAUAACAGGUCUGUGAUGCCCUUAGAUGUUCCGGGCUGCACACGUGCUACAAUGAUUAUUGCAGUGAGCAUCUCAUUUUUUACACACCGCAUUCACGAGUCCAUUUAUUCAUUCCUUCGGGUUUGCUUUAAAUGUGCAUCUCUGUGAGCGGUAAAGCCUGCUUCGAAAGUAAGUGGGUAAUCAAUUAGGAGUAAUGAUUUCCUUUUUUUUCAGCACACAUAUAUACGGCGUUUAUACCCGGGCUGUCCUUGUUGAUAGCUUUUGUGUGUAUAGAUGUUUUUUCCGUAUGUGCAAUUGUCAAUUCAUGGUGGGGACAGACCAUUGUUAAUUGUUGGUCUCGGUCUUAACUAGGAAUGCCUUGUACGGGUCUUUGGUUCAACAAACCACCCGGAAUACGUCCCUGCCCUUUGUACACACCGCCCGUCGCUCUUACCGAUGGACUUCUCUGUGAGUUUGAGGGACUGGGAACGCAGUGCUCUUUACUGAGCUUACUGCACACCCAUGGAAACUUAAACGAACAGUGUGGUCUAAAGGAAAGAGAAGUCGUAACAAGGCAUUGGUAGGUGAACCUGCAGAAGGAUCA
rnacentral:rRNA from 1 species